rnacentral:rRNA from 1 species
UCCGUAGGCGGACUAAUAAGUCAGGGGUGAAAUCCAACAGCUUAACUGUUGAACUGCCUUUGAUACUGUUAGUCUUGAAUUAUAUGGAAGUAGAUAGAACGUGUAGUGUAGCGGUGAAAUGCUUAGAGAUUACACAGAAUACCGAUUGCGAAGGCAGUCUACUACGUAUAUAUUGACGCUAAUGGACGAAAGCGUGGGGAGCGAACAGGAUUAGAUACCCUGGUAGUCC